GACAGAGGGGGCAAGCGUUGCUCGGAAUUACUGGGCGUAAAGGGCGCGUAGGCGGAAUGGCAAGUCGGUCGUGAAAUCCUUCGGCUCAACCGAAGAACGUCGAUCGAAACUGCCGUUCUUGAGGAUUGCAGAGGAGACUGGAAUUCCCGGUGUAGCGGUGAAAUGCGCAGAUAUCGGGAGGAACACCAAUGGCGAAGGCAGCUCGCUGGGACGUUACUGACGCUGAGACGCGAAAGCGUGGGGAGCAAACAGG
rnacentral:rRNA from 1 species